UACGUAGGGGGCAAGCGUUGUCCGGAUUUAUUGGGCGUAAAGAGCGUGUAGGCGGCCAUGUAGGUCCGUUGUGAAAACUCGAGGCUCGACCUCGAGACGCCGAUGGAAACCAUGUGGCUAGAGUCCGGAAGAGGAGAGUGGAAUUCCUGGUGCAGCGGUGAAAUGCGCAGAUAUCAGGAAGAACACCCGUGGCUAAGGCGGCUCUCUAGUACGGUACUGACGCUGAGACGCGAAAGCGUGGGGAGCGAACAGG
rnacentral:rRNA from 1 species